GAUGAACGCUGGCGGCGUGCCUAAUACAUGCAAGUCGAGCGAACAGACGAGGAGCUUGCUCCUUUGACGUUAGCGGCGGACGGGUGAGUAACACGUAGGUAACCUACCUAUAAGACUGGGAUAACUUCGGGAAACCGGAGCUAAUACCGGAUAAUAUUUCGAACCGCAUGGUUCGAUAGUGAAAGAUGGCUUUGCUAUCACUUAUAGAUGGUCCUGCGCCGUAUUAGCUAGUUGGUAAGGUAACGGCUUACCAAGGCAACGAUACGUAGCUGACCUGAGAGGGUGAUCGGCCACACUGGAACUGAGACACGGUCCAGACUCCUACGGGAGGCAGCAGUAGGGAAUCUUCCGCAAUGGGCGAAAGCCUGACGGAGCAACGCCGCGUGAGUGAUGAAGGUCUUCGGAUCGUAAAACUCUGUAAUUAGGGAAGAACAAACGUGUAAGUAACUGUGCACGUCUUGACGGUACCUAAUCAGAAAGCCACGGCUAACUACGUG
rnacentral:rRNA from 1 species